AACUGCGAGACAGUCGAGACUAAGCCAUGGUGAGUUGUGGACUGCGUGAAAGGAGCCGCAAAGCCUAGUUAUUACAGUCCUUUUAGUUUCCCAGCGUUUUCCUAGGCUAUACAGAAGUUCACAUGAACAGAUACUUCCAUGGCCGUUGCUAGCAACGUUUGUAAAUAGAAGGAAGUAACCACUGUCACUGGACAUUAUCCCUACUGACCCAGAACUGCUGGAACUUAUCAGCAACAUGGUGAAUCUCACUUAUUCCUACCAUUAAUCGUUCCCAAAUUGUUGCUGGAGGGGGACGAUUUGCAAGAUCACUAAGAGCUGACACUUCUCAAGACCGGUUCACAGCAUUAUUUACAAAAGGUGCCCCUCCUCCUCCUGGUGCAGGUACAAAUGGGCCAUGACUUGACACUUCGUCGCGAACAAACUCUUCACAGUCCUUCACGGCCUUAACUACAGCCGAGGAAUAAAGGUAGAUGGAGCUGCUGCUUCUGUGAGGUGAAGAACGAUGCCUACAAAUCGAAAACUAAAAACCAGACAAGUGGAGCGGAAGGAGGGUAGAACCAAAAUGAGCUGGAAUCUUACGCGACUUCCCCUUGAAAGUUUUGGCGAAGUAGGCCUCUUCGUCGUCCUCGUGUUCCUCGUCUGCUUCUUCGUCGCGGAGCAAGUGGCCGUAAUCUCGCUUGAUCUUCGACGUCUCCUGCUGCAGGAGUUUCGACUUCUUGGUGUCGUCCUCCAGGGCUCCCAGGGACCGGCCCAGACGGCGCGCUGCUGACUGUGGACGGGGAUGUCGGCAUUAUUCCAGCUGAUUUCCCUCUGGAGCCAUCUGAGGUUUAUUGCCUGUUGACUCCGUCCGUGAGGAUUCUCAGCUGACGAUUUAGAGAAAGGAGGAGAAGAAGGUCGUUCCAGAAAACCUCAAACUGUAACUGACAAAGGAGGUUCGAGAACAGUUCAUUUUGUUUAAAUUCAGUGAGUGUAAAACAGACUUGCCUCAAAAAUCAACUCUAUUAAUAAUUCUCGUUAUUUUAAAGUAUCAUUACUAGACGAGUUCAUUUGCAGCCGAAGUAACUUAUACAAAUAGUUUCAUGGACGCCCUUUGAGAGGUUCAUCAUUAUGGAAACGCUUUCUCUCACGAUUUUGAAACCGCAAAACCCGAUUAAAUUUGCUUCGACCGUUAGGCGUUGGUUUCCUCCAACCUCUCACCCCCAUUCCUCCCACCUAGUGCCUCCCCCGGCCCCCGCCCAACCAUCAUCACAACAGACAGAUACUUCCUGGCACUUGCUUUUACGUAUUCACCCGUGUUUGUGCCCUUGCU